rnacentral:lncRNA from 1 species
AGUUUUCUAAAGAAAAAUCUAAGUGUUAGAGCCACAAAUGAAUGGCUCAAGGCAGUGACUGAGUGUCUACCUAUCUAACCUGAAGAGGGGCAAGGAAGAGGAACAAGAACGUCACAAUGUACUGGAAAAGUGAACCUACAGGAGGAAUAACACUUAAGGACAUGGAAGACAGGCUUUAUUCCACUCUGUCCCCAGAAGGCAACAGCUCCUGGUUGACAAUGCCUCAGAGGAACAUGAUAGAAAUAAGGUCUAAGAGCCAUAUAUGAAUAAUAUCCAGCAUAGGGAUUAAAGAGCUGUAACCUUACAGCUAAUCACAGGGCUUUGGGUCUUAAUAUUCCUGGAUGUGUAUACUGCUCUGCCAGAGUAGAGUAAAGCUGACCAGUAAAAGAAAAAGUUUAGAGAGAGGAAAAGCUGAGAUUUAUGAAGGACAUACUGCUUUGGGAAAAUGUCUUUGUUGUCAACAUUUGAAAAAACACUUCUGUGAGGUGACUGUGGGAAAUGGAGGGUUCCUGUCAUCUGUGUACCAUAUGACAGCUGAACAGCUGCGGCAUACACAGACACUUAUCCUCAUGUUAAAAGUGAUAACUACAUCAGAAACCCACACUUUCUGAACAAACUGCAUCAAGAAUCACCAGAUUGGAGGG